rnacentral:rRNA from 1 species
ACAGAGGGUGCGAGCGUUAAUCGGAAUUACUGGGCGUAAAGAGCGCGCAGGCGGCUGGUCAAGUCCGAUGUGAAAGCUCCCGGCUUAACUGGGAAACGGCAUCGGAAACUGAUCGGCUUGAAGGUGGGAGAGGGUAGUGGAAUUCCCGGUGUAGUGGUGAAAUGCGUAGAUAUCGGGAGGAACACCAGUGGCGAAGGCGACUACCUGGCCCAUUCUUGACGCUGAGGCGCGAAAGCUAGGGGAGCGAACGGGA